ensembl:snRNA U6 U6 spliceosomal RNA
GUGUUUGCUUUGGCAGCACAUACACUAAGAUUGGUACAAUACAGAGAAGAUUCUCAUGGCCCCUGCUCAAGGAUGACAUGCAAAUUCGUGAAGUGGUCCAUAUUUAA